rnacentral:tRNA from 1 species
GGCUUCGUAGCUCAGCUGGUAGAGCGCUUGCCGCGUUGAGGCAUGGUGUUUCUGGUUCGAAUCCAGCCGAAGCCC